AUUUAAAGAAAGCGUAAUAGCUCACUGGUCGAGUCGGCCUGCGCGGAAGAUGUAACGGGGCUAAACCAUGCACCGAAGCUGCGGCAGCGACACUAUGUGUUGUUGGGUAGGGGAGCGUUCUGUAAGCCUGCGAAGGUGUGCUGUGAGGCAUGCUGGAGGUAUCAGAAGUGCGAAUGCUGACAUAAGUAACGAUAAAGCGGGUGAAAAGCCCGCUCGCCGGAAGACCAAGGGUUCCUGUCCAACGUUAAUCGGGGCAGGGUGAGUCGACCCCUAAGGCGAGGCCGAAAG
rnacentral:rRNA from 1 species